rnacentral:rRNA from 1 species
AGAGCGAACGCUGGCGGCAGGCCUAAAACAUGCAAGUCGAACGAACCCUUCGGGGUUAGUGGCGGACGGGUGAGUAACACGUGGGAACGUGCCCUUUGGUUCGGAACAACUCAGGGAAACUUGAGCUAAUACCGGAUGUGCCCUUCGGGGAAAGAUUUAUCGCCAUUGGAGCGGCCCGCGUCUGAUUAGCUAGUUGGUGAGGUAAAGGCUCACCAAGGCUACGAUCAGUAGCUGGUCUGAGAGGAUGAUCAGCCACACUGGGACUGAGACACGGCCCAGACUCCUACGGGAGGCAGCAGUUAGGAAUCUUGCGCAAUGGGCGAAAGCCUGACGCAGCCAUGCCGCGUGAAUGAUGAAGGUCUUAGGAUUGUAAAAUUCUUUCAGCGGGGACGAUAAUGACGGUACCCGCAGAAGAAGCUCCGGCUAACUUCGUGCCAGCAGCCGC